rnacentral:rRNA from 1 species
GAUGAACGCUGGCGGCGUGCUUAACACAUGCAAGUCGAACGAGGUCCAUGGAGCUUGCUCCGGACGACCUAGUGGCGAACGGGUGCGUAACACGUGAGAAACCUGCCCUGGACUUUGGGAUAACAGUUGGAAACGACUGCUAAUACCAAAUAUCACCAUCACCUCGCAUGGGGAGAUGAUGAAAGGUCCGCCGGUCCAGGAGGGUCUCGCGGCCUAUCAGCUUGUUGGAGAGGUAACGGCUCACCAAGGCAUCGACGGGUAGCUGGUCUGAGAGGAUGAUCAGCCACACUGGGACUGAGACACGGCCCAGACUCCUACGGGAGGCAGCAGUGGGGAAUCUUGCACAAUGGGCGCAAGCCUGAUGCAGCAACGCCGCGUGCGGGAAGAAGGCCCUAGGGUUGUAAACCGCUUUCAGUAGGGAAGAAAAUGACGGUACCUACAGAAGAAGGUGCGGCCAACUACG